GAUGAAGAACGCAACGAAAUGCGAUAAGUAAUGUGAAUUGCAGAAUUCAGUGAAUCAUCGAAUCUUUGAACGCACAUUGCGCCCGCCAGUAUUCUGGCGGGCAUGCCUGUUCGAGCGUCAUUUCAACCAUCAAGCCCCCGGCUUGUGUUGGGGACCUGCGGCUGCCGCAGGCCCUGAAAACCAGUGGCGGGCUCGCUAGUCACUCCGAGCGUAGUAAUACAUCUCGCUCAGGGCGUGCUGCGGGUUCCGGCCGUUAAAAAGCCUUAUUUACCCAAGGUUGACCUCGGAUCAGGUAGGAAGACCCGCUGAACUUAAGCAUAUCAAUAAGCGGAGGA
rnacentral:misc_RNA from 1 species